UGUCCCAAUUCCUACAAAACAACAUAAAACAUGCUUGAAUAGACAUAAACACUUAAAAACUAAUCUAAAAGACUUGAGAACAAUAAUAAAUUAAGCCCGAAUGUAUCCAAUUCAUGUGUAUAAAACUCACUCAUCAAAUACCCCCAAACUUAAACAUUUGCUUGUCCUCAAGCAAAAACACAAAAGAACUAAAAAUAAA
rnacentral:lncRNA from 1 species